GGGGGCCCAGGAGCCCCGACCUCUGCGCAUCCCAUCGGUACCGCGCACCGUGCCUUUCCCCUUUUGGUCCUGGGACCCGAGACAGAAAAAGCCGGAUUAUCUGCCUCCCUCGCCCCCAAGAGAAACAGAGAGGAAUUCCUAGAUAGUGAUCGUGAUCGCCGCCGUCACCACCGUCCCCCCCCCCCCUUUUUUUUUUUUUUUUCUGGUCACAGAAGUCAUGUAGGAUCCAUGAAAAACCAGGAAAGUCUAAGAACUGGCCUACACCACGGAAGCCUGGAGAGCCGUGACAACUCAGUGCUGAGCGUGUGGUACCACGGAAGAUGAUUCCAGGCCACAUCCCCAUCCUGACCUGGUACUUCCUGUGACCACCAACGGGCUGGAAUUCUGGGCUCCUCCCGAGACCAGGGUUCAAGAAACUGGCUGCUCAGGUCCCCAGUGGUUUGCACACAUCUAGAUGAUGCACCAUGGUCAGACUGGGGUGGAGUGAAAAGGGAACCCUACUUGGAAAGAUUACAGUUCCUGUCUCCAGUCCCCAUGGUCCGACAGACUCCUGCACUUGACUGUGUAUUUGAAAUAAGGGUAGCAGCAUGAUUUUAAAGACAAAGAAGCAGAACCUAAGGUGGAUCGGCGUGCCCAGGAGGGGCCCUUGGCAGAAGUGAGAGUAGUGAGAAAGAUCUCUGAACACCUUCCUGCUCCCUCCCAUCUCGGCUUAAUGUGGCUCCAGGAGCUGAGCAGUGACAGAGACCUACCUAAUCACACCUGUCCAGCACAUGAAGAGCCGUUUGCCAACAGAGCGAGAAGACAAGAUUUUAAUCUUCAUUUUUUAAAUCCUUGGGGAUAAAGCAAAUGACCCUGGAUUAAAAGCAGCAGGAAGGAUCUGGGCUCCAAAUCAGGAAGAAUUGCCAAACCGGCAGUGAGAACGCGGAACUUGGGCAUGACCCGGCAGGAGCGGUGGGACAGGCCCCUACUGGGAAGUCCUGAGCACAAAGGCAAUUCCUGAGUCAGCUGGAUUUAUGGGCCGAGGCUGAGCCUAACCCUGGAGGGAUGGCCUACCACCGUUGCCGGGCCAGGUGAGAUACAUUGCCAGGGAGUCGGUGGCA